rnacentral:lncRNA from 10 species
CUGGGAAAUCACCCUGUUCUUUGACUGAAACCCACUCAAACCCAAAGCCAUAACCUAACCCCUCAAACUGGACGAAUAUAGAGGUGUGGAGCUUGGUGAGCUUGAGGAUUCUCAAUGCUGGGGAGGGAAGGUGCUGCCACCAUGGUGACAAGGGGUCUGGGCAUGCUGAAGACAGCUUAGAAGACUUUGCAGUAUCACACCUGGGUCCUCCUUCCUCACCUUCCACCAAAAGAGAAAAAAUAGAAGCUUUUCCCAAAACUUAAGCAUAUUGAUUUGCAAAGGCUCCCACUGAUCCAAAUGUCAUAGCUGGUCUAGUAUUCAAAGUUUAAAUUCCUUGAUUCGGGUCAACUGUUUUGUGCAAACCGAACCUGAUGACAGUCUGCCCAGAAUGAGCAACUAUGAACACUGAUUCUAAGAUGACAUGACAGAUCUUCAAACAAAGAAAUCCGAACUUGCAUAUUUGCGGUGGUCACCUGCGAGGUCGACACUG